UACGGAGGGUGCGAGCGUUGUCCGGAAUCACUGGGCGUAAAGGGCGCGUAGGCGGCCUGAUAAGUAGGGGGUGAAAUCUUGCGGCUUAACCGCAAGGCUGCCUUCUAAACUGUCGGGCUCGAGCACAGUAGAGGCAGGUGGAAUUCCCGGUGUAGCGGUGGAAUGCGUAGAGAUCGGGAAGAACAUCAGUGGCGAAAGCGCUCUACUGGGCCAUAACUGACACUGAGGGACGAAAGCUAGGGGAGCAAACGGG
rnacentral:rRNA from 1 species